rnacentral:rRNA from 2 species
CCUGAGAAACCCAAAAGAUCGAAUGGGGAGAUUCAUCGUCAGCUCAUUUGGUAUAUAURUUGUUAUGAUGCGGGUUACUACUUGUAGUAUUGCCUGCACAUUCUUGUAUAUUUARUUGCAAGAUGUUGUCGGCGUGCACUUCUCCCCUAGUAGGACGUCGCGACCCGNNGGNUGUCGGUUUACGGCCCAAGUGAUAGCCUUUAAUGUAAUUUAAAAAUCAUUGAAGAUCCUUGGUGUUUUCUAACCGGCUACUUGGCGGUAUUCGCACGGUAUUUAGCCGCUAAUUUAUUAGCGUUCAUAUCCGUCACAAGCGAGGCCAAUUUUUACUACUAAUAGUACGGACCUAGUGCCGUCGUUGGUAUUGGCCAGCUGUUGGUUGUACGGUAUUCUAGAACUGGCUAAAAAAUUAAUAAUUACCGGUCGGCGAUGCUACUGCUUUGGGUACUUUCAGGACCCGUCUUGAAACACGGA